rnacentral:rRNA from 1 species
GACGAACGCUGGCGGCGUGCCUAAUACAUGCAAGUUGAGCGCUGAAGGUUGGUACUUGUACCAACUGGAUGAGCAGCGAACGGGUGAGUCACGCGUGGGGAAUCUGCCUUUGAUCGGGGGACAACAUUUGGAAACGAAUGCUAAUACCGCAUAAAAACUUUCAACACAAGUUUUAAGUUUGAAAGAUGCAAUUGCAUCACUCAAAGAUGAUCCCGCGUUGUAUUAGCUAGUUGGUGAGGUAAAGGCUCACCAAGGCGAUGAUACAUAGCCGACCUGAGAGGGUGAUCGGCCACAUUGGGACUGAGACACGGCCCAAACUCCUACGGGAGGCAGCAGUAGGGAAUCUUCGGCAAGGGACGAGAGUCUGACCGAGCAACGCCGCGGGAGUGAAGAAGGUUUUCGGAUCGUAAAACUCUGUAGGUAGAGAAGAACGUGGGUGAGAGUGGAAAGCUCAUCAAGUGACGGUAACUACCCAGAAAGGGACGGCUAACUACGUG